rnacentral:lncRNA from 1 species
UUGGCCUUACCUAAAGCUUUGCUCAAGCACUAUUUCUUGUGUAAUGUGCUGCAUCUGCUGCUGAACUGUGAUGGAAACACAGGUUGCUGCCCUUCAUCUCCAGCAAGGCACUGGCUGAGUCAUUGCUCCCAGUACACUAGUGCUGGCAUCUACCCUUGGCAAAGAGCACAAAGAGCAUCUCCCCACUCUCAGCCUCAUCUUGGUUCCAAUGCUGUGCUCCGUCAGGCCUGGAGAGAUACAAGCUGGAGACCACUCUGGGUGCUGCAGCCGAUGUCUUUGAGAGCACUUGUCCACAGUGACCAGAUCUCCAUUUAUGGUUUCUUUACUGGAAGAGCAGGAUCAGUUUACGGGCAGCUAAAGUAA